rnacentral:rRNA from 1 species
GACCAGACUCCUACGGGAGGCAGCAGUGAGGAAUAUUGGUCAAUGGCCGAGAGGCUGAACCAGCCAAGUCGCGUGAGGGAAGACGGCCCUACGGGUUGUAAACCUCUUUUGUCGGGGAGCAAAGCGAGUCACGUGUGACUCAUUGAGAGUACCCGAAGAAAAAGCAUCGGCUAACUCCGUGCCAGCAGCCGCGGUAAUACGGAGGAUGCGAGCGUUAUCCGGAUUUAUUGGGUUUAAAGGGUGCGUAGGCGGAUUUUUAAGUCAGCGGUAAAAGGUCCGGGCUCAACCCGGGCCGGCCGUUGAAACUGGGGAUCUUGAGUGGGCGAGAAGUAUGCGGAAUGCGUGGUGUAGCGGUGAAAUGCAUAGAUAUCACGCAGAACUCCGAUUGCGAAGGCAGCAUACCGGCGCCCGACUGACGCUGAGGCACGAAAGCGUGGGGAUCGAACAGGAUUAGAGACCCU